rnacentral:rRNA from 1 species
CGAGUGAAGCGGCAAUAGCUCAAAUUUGAAAGCUGGCCCCUUCGGGGUCCGCGUUGUAAUUUGUAGAGGAUGAUUCGGCGAGGGCUCCCGUCUAAGUCCCCUGGAACGGGGCGUCAUAGAGGGUGAGAAUCCCGUAUGUGAUGGGUUGCCUUAGCCAUGUGAAUCUCCUUCGACGAGUCGAGUUGUUUGGGAAUGCAGCUCUAAAUGGGAGGUAAAUUUCUUCUAAAGCUAAAUACCGGCCAGAGACCGAUAGCGCACAAGUAGAGUGAUCGAAAGAUGAAAAGCACUUUGGAAAGAGAGUUAAAAAGUACGUGAAAUUGUUGAAAGGGAAGCGCUUGCAGCCAGACUUGUCCGCAGUUGCUCAGCCGGUCUCCUGACCGGCGUACUCUUCUGCGGCCAGGCCAGCAUCAGUUCGGGCGGUCGGAUAAAGACCUCGGGAAUGUGGCUCCUCUCGGGGAGUGUUAUAGCCCGGGGUGGAAUGCGGCCAGCCUGGACUGAGGAUCUCGCUUCGGCUAGGAUGCUGGCGUAAUGGCUGUAAGCGGCCCGUCUUGAAACACGGACCAAGGAGUCUAACAUCUAUGCGAGUGUUUGGGUGUCAAACCCAUACGCGUAAUGAAAGUGAACGGAGGUGGGAACCCUCACGGGUGCACCAUCGACCGAUCCUGAUGUCUUCGGAUGGAUUUGAGUAAGAGCAUAGCUGUUGGGACCCGAAAGAUGGUGAACUAUGCCUGAAUAGGGUGAAGCCAGAGGAAACUCUGGUGGAGGCUCGCAGCGGUUCUGACGUGCAAAUCGAUCG